rnacentral:pre_miRNA from 14 species
CGAUGUUGUUCUGACUGUUUCCAUAGCUUAUAUUGUCUCAAAAUGCAUAUAAGCUCGUGAACAACAGGCAGGACAACUGG